CCAAAGGCGAAGGCAAUUGGCUGGUGCCUAACUGACGCUGAAACACGAAAGCGUGGGGAGAAAAGAGGAUUAGAUACCCUCGUAUUCCACGCCGUAAACGAUGUCAACUAGCCGUUCGGAGUAUCGACCCUCUGAGUGGCGUAGCUAACGCGUUAAGUUGACCGCCUGGGAAGUACGAGCGCAAGCUUAAAACUCAAAGGAAUAGACGGGGACUUGCACAAGCGGUGGACCAUGUGGUUUAAUUCGAUGAUACGCGAGGAACCUUACCAGGGCUUGACAUUCUAGUGACCAUUUAUCGAAAGAUAGAUUUUCUUUUAGACACUAGAGUCAGGUGGUGCACGGUUGCCGUCAGCAUGUGCCUUGAGGUGCUCCCUUAAAUGGGUUAACAUGCGCAACCCUCGUCCUAUGUUAUAAGUGUCAUAGGAGACUGCCUCCGAAUAGGGGGAGGAAGGAGAGGAUGACGUCAAAUCAGCGUGUCCUUUUGAUGCCCUGGGCGACACACAUGGUACAAUGGUCGGGACAACGGGUUGCCAAACCGAAAGGUGGAGCUAAUCCUAUCAAACCCGGCCCCAGUUCGGAUUGAGGGCUGAAAUUCGCCCUCAUGAAGUUGGAAUCGCUAGUAAUCGCGGAUCAGCCACGCCGCGGUGAAUACGUUCUCAAGUCUUGUACUCGGGUGCCAUGCAGUUUUAAAAGCUAGUCCGUU
rnacentral:rRNA from 1 species